rnacentral:rRNA from 1 species
UUGACCUCGGAUCAGGUAGAAAUACCCGCUGAACUUAAGCAUAUCAAUAA